rnacentral:piRNA from 1 species
UGGUCUCCACAACCUCUUAUAACCCA